UUCAGAAAAGAUUGUGAGGUUUGUCAUGCCUUUAAGAGAGUAAGCCUUUUUCUAUAUCUUAUCCUAUACAGUAUCUAGCACAAUGUGUUGUACACAGUAACCCUUUGAAAACAGUUUUGUACUCACUCAAAAAACAUUUCUUUAUGGAGGAUCAAAGUUCAUGAUCAAAUGAACUGAACUACUUGUUCUUGGCAGGGAACAGCUCCCUCAGAGGCCCAACCAGGAUGAGGCAGAGCCUUUCAAGAGAGAUAAAGGAAAACAGAAGAAGCUGUGAUAAAGUCCCUCAAGCUUCAUGUGGCUGUACCUCCAGAGGCACCUGAGGGUUCCUACACUCUGAGAGGUAGGUAUCUGAAAGCCUCAAGGAUUUUUAGUGUUUUUUUUGUUUGUUUGUUUUUAGGAACCACUGUUCUUCCAACUCCCAAUACUGAUCAGGAGGCAUAGAUUCCCACUACUCUAUGUGUGAUAAAAGGUUUCUAAUCAGGAAAAAGAAGACCUGGGAAGAAUUAUUAGAGUUGGUGGCAUCUGAUCCAGCCCUCAAAGUAUAAAACAUUGGUGAAUGUGUGUCUCAGAUACACACUAGGACCAAAACUGUGCUUUCUAAAUUGUUCACCUUCUGCCAUAUCCAUAGACAGAGGCUGCCAAACACCUGUUUCAAAGUAAGGAAAGAAAUUCAAAGAGAUGAACAGGAGGCACUUACAUUAAAAAGAAUGUAGGUUGUAUCUGUACUUCCAACAUUUAGAAACUUAUAUUUGUGACUGUGACUCAGAUAAAAAAAGGUCUGUGAAUCUCCCCCCAAAUCAUCUCUUCCUUGCC
rnacentral:lncRNA from 1 species